GCAAACUUGGUCAUUUAGAGGAAGUAAAAGUCGUAACAAGGUUUCCGUAGGUGAACCUGCGGAAGGAUCAUUAGUGAACAAUGUUUUGCUGCUAGGAGUUGAGCUGGCUCUGGCAUGUGCUCGCUCUGGCAGUGAUUCUUUUCAUCCACCUGUGCACCUUUGUAGGAAGGAGAGAUGCAUGAACGAGAGAGGUCUUUUCUAUAUACCUUUGUUGAGAAACGCAUCUUUCUAACCUAUGUCUUCUUACACACCCAAAUGAAUGUCUUGAAUGUCUCUUUUUGAAAGGGUAUUGAAACCUUUUAAAGUGUUUAUACAACUUUCAGCAACGGAUCUCUUGGCUCUCGCAUCGAUGAAGAACGCAGC
rnacentral:misc_RNA from 1 species